UACGAAGGGGGCUAGCGUUGCUCGGAAUCACUGGGCGUAAAGGGUGCGUAGGCGGGUCUUUAAGUCAGGUGUGAAAUCUCGGGGCUCAACCCCGAAACUGCAUUUGAUACUGUGGUGCUCGAGUACUGGAGAGGAGAUUGGAAUUUACGGUGUAGCAGUGAAAUGCGUAGAUAUCGUAAGGAAGACCAGUGGCGAAGGCGAAUCUCUGGACAGUUACUGACACUGAGGCACGAAGGCCAGGGGAGCAAACGGG
rnacentral:rRNA from 1 species